AGUGAACGCUGGCGGCAGGCCUAAUACAUGCAAGUCGAACGGCCGCACAGUAAGAGUUCGCCUCUACGGGUGGCGAGUGGCGGACGGGUGAGGAAUACAUCGGAAACCUCUUUUACGUGGGGGACUUCGUAGGGAAACAUAUGCUAAUAGAGCAUAUGUUCUACGGGAGAAAGCAGGGGUUCAUCGGACUUUGCGCGAUAGUAUGAGAUGGUGCCGGAGUAGCUAGUUGGGGGGGUAAAGGCCCACCAAGGCAACGAUACGUAGCUGGUCUGAGAGGAUGAUCAGCCACACUGGAACUGAGACACGGUCCAGACUCCUACGGGAGGCAGCAGUAGGGAAUUUUGGGCAAUGGGCGCAAGCCUGAUCCAGCCAUGCCGCGUGAGUGAUGAAGGCCUUCGGAUUGUAAAGCCCUUUUAUUAGGGAAGAAAAGCUGCGUAAUAAUACCCCGCUGUUCUGACGGUACCCAAAGAGUAAGCACCGGCUAACUUCGUG
rnacentral:rRNA from 1 species